rnacentral:rRNA from 1 species
AACACAUGCAAGUCGAACGAUGUAGCAAUACAUAGUGGCGCACGGGUGAGUAACGCGUGGGAAUGUACCUUAUAGUGGGGAAUAACUUCGGGAAACUGAAGCUAAUACCGCAUACGCCCUUCGGGGGAAAGAUUUAUCGCUAUAGGAUCAGCCCGCGUGAGAUUAGGUAGUUGGUGGGGUAAUGGCCUACCAAGCCUACGAUCUCUAGCUGGUCUGAGAGGAUGAUCAGCCACACUGGAACUGAGACACGGUCCAGACUCCUACGGGAGGCAGCAGUGGGGAAUAUUGGACAAUGGGCGAAAGCCUGAUCCAGCCAUGCCGCGUGAAUGAUGAAGGCUUUAGGGUUGUAAAGUUCUUUCGCCGAUGAAGAUAAUGACGGUAGUCGGAGAAGAAGCCCC